AUUGAACGCUGGCGGCAGGCUUAACACAUGCAAGUCGAACGAGUGGCGGACGGGUGAGUAAUGCUUGGGAAUCUAGCUUAUGGAGGGGGAUAACUACGGGAAACCGUAGCUAAUACCGCGUACCAUAGGAUGAGCCCAAGUGGGAUUAGCUAGUAGGUGGGGUAAAGGCUCACCAAGCCGACGAUCCCUAGCUGGUCUGAGAGGAUGACCAGCCACACUGGCACUGAGACACGGCCCAGACUCCUACGGGAGGCAGCAGUGGGGAAUAUUGCGCAAUGGGUGCAACCCUGACGCAGCCAUGCCGCGUGAAUGAAGAAGGCCUUCGGGUUGUAAAGUUCUUUCAGUAGGGAGGCGUUACCUACAGAAGAAGCACCGGCUAACUCCGUGCCAGCAGCCGCGGUAAUUC
rnacentral:rRNA from 1 species